rnacentral:rRNA from 1 species
UACGGGGGGAGCAAGCGUUGUUCGGAUUUACUGGGCGUAAAGGGCGCGUAGGCGGCCAGCACAAGUCAGUUGUGAGAUCUCCGAGCUUAACUCGGAAAGGUCAACUGAUACUGUGCGGCUAGAGUGCGGAAGGGGCAACUGGAAUUCUUGGUGUAGCGGUGAAAUGCGUAGAUAUCAAGAGGAACACCUGCGGCGAAGGCGGGUUGCUGGGCCGACACUGACGCUGAGGCGCGAAAGCUAGGGGAGCGAACGGG